GGAGAGGUGUCCGAGUGGCCGAAGGUGCAGCACUGGAAAUGCUGUGUGCCCCAAAAGGGUACCGAGGGUUCAAAUCCCUCCCUCUCCGCCA
rnacentral:tRNA from 1 species